rnacentral:rRNA from 1 species
CACGUGAGUAACCUGCCCCUGACUCUGGGAUAAGCGUUGGAAACGACGUCUAAUACUGGAUACGACUGCCGGCCGCAUGGUCUGGUGGUGGAAAGAUUUUUUGGUUGGGGAUGGACUCGCGGCCUAUCAGCUUGUUGGUGAGGUAAUGGCUCACCAAGGCGACGACGGGUAGCCGGCCUGGAGGGUGACCGGCCACACUGGGACUGAGACACGGCCCAGACUCCUACGGGAGGCAGCAGUGGGGAAUAUUGCACAAUGGGCGAAAGCCUGAUGCAGCAACGCCGCGUGAGGGAUGACGGCCUUCGGGUUGUAAACCUCUUUUAGUAGGGAAGAAGCGAAAGUGACGGUACCUGCAGAAAAAGCACCGGCUAACUACGUGCCAGCAGCCGCGGUAAUACGUAGGGUGCAAGCGUUGUCCGGAAUUAUUGGGCGUAAAGAGUCGUAGGCGGUUUGUCGCGUCUGCUGUGAAAUCCCGAGGCUCAACCUCGGGCUUGCAGUGGGUACGGGCAGACUAGAGUGCGGUAGGGGAGAUUGGAAUUCCUGGUGUAGCGGUGGAAU